rnacentral:rRNA from 1 species
UACGUAGGGUGCAAGCGUUGUCCGGAAUUAUUGGGCGUAAAGAGCUCGUAGGCGGUUUGUCGCGUCUGCUGUGAAAACGCGAGGCUCAACCUCGCGCCUGCAGUGGGUACGGGCAGACUAGAGUGCGGUAGGGGAGAUUGGAAUUCCUGGUGUAGCGGUGGAAUGCGCAGAUAUCAGGAGGAACACCGAUGGCGAAGGCAGAUCUCUGGGCCGUAACUGACGCUGAGGCGCGAAAGCGUGGGGAGCGAACAGG